AUGAACGCUGGCGGCGUGCCUAAUACAUGCAAGUCGAGCGAACGGACGAGAAGCUUGCUUCUCUGAUGUUAGCGGCGGACGGGUGAGUAACACGUGGAUAACCUACCUAUAAGACUGGGAUAACUUCGGGAAACCGUAGCUAAUACCGGAUAAUAUUUUGAACCGCAUGGUUCAAAAGUGAAAGACGGUCUUGCUGUCACUUAUAGAUGGAUCCGCGCUGCAUUAGCUAGUUGGUAAGGUAACGGCUUACCAAGGCAACGAUGCAUAGCCGACCUGAGAGGGUGAUCGGCCACACUGGAACUGAGACACGGUCCAGACUCCUACGGGAGGCAGCAGUAGGGAAUCUUCCGCAAUGGGCGAGAGCCUGACGGAGCAACGCCGCGUGAGUGAUGAAGGUCUUCGGAUCGUAAAACUCUGUUAUUAGGGAAGAACAUAUGUGUAAGUAACUGUGCACAUCUUGACGGUACCUAAUCAGAAAGCCACGGCUAACUACGUG
rnacentral:rRNA from 1 species